AUACAUAGGGGGCAAGCGUUAUCCGGAAUUAUUGGGCGUAAAGCGUGUGUAGGCGGUCUAUUAAGUCUGGCGUGAAAUCCCACAGCUUAACUGUGGAGGGUCGUUGGAAACUGGUAGGCUUGAGUACGGCAGAGGUAAGUGGAAUUCCAAGUGGAGCGGUGGAAUGCGUAGAUAUUUGGAGGAACACCAGUGGCGAAGGCGGCUUACUGGGCCGGAACUGACGCUGAGACACGAAAGCGUGGGGAGCAAACAGGAUUAGAUACCCUGGUAGUCCACGCUGUAAACGAUGAGCACUAAGUGUCGGAUGUAAAUUCGGCGCUGCAGUUAACACAGUAAGUGCUCCGCCUGGGGAGUACGGUCGCAAGACUGAA
rnacentral:rRNA from 1 species